GUGCCAGCAGCCGCGGUAAUACGGAGGGUGCAAGCGUUAUCCGGAUUCACUGGGUUUAAAGGGAGCGUAGGUGGGCUUGUAAGUCAGUGGUGAAAUCUCCGAGCUUAACUUGGAAACUGCCAUUGAUACUACUAGUCUUGAAUUCUGUGGAGGUAAGCGGAAUAUAUCAUGUAGCGGUGAAAUGCUUAGAUAUGAUAUAGAACACCGAUAGCGAAGGCAGCUUACUACGCAGAUAUUGACACUGAGGCUCGAAAGCGUGGGGAUCAAACAGGAUUAGAUACCCUGGUAGUCCACGCCCUAAACUAUGGAUACUCGACAUCAGCGAUACACAGUUGGUGUCUGAGCGAAAGCAUUAAGUAUCCCACCUGGGAAGUACGUCCGCAAGGAUGAAACUUAAAUAAAUUGACGG
rnacentral:rRNA from 1 species